rnacentral:rRNA from 1 species
CCUACGGGUGGCAGCAGUGGGGAAUAUUGGGCAAUGGGCGCAAGCCUGACCCAGCAACGCCGCGUGAAGGAAGACGGCUUUCGGGUUGUAAACUUCUGUUCUCAGGGACGAAGCAAGUGACGGUACCUGAGGAAUAAGCCACGGCUAACUACGUGCCAGCAGCAGCGGUAAUACGUAGGUGGCAAGCGUUAUCCGGAUUUACUGGGUGUAAAGGGGGUGUAGGCGGGACUGCAAGUCAGAUGUGAAAACCACGGGCUCAACCUGUGGCCUGCAUUUGAAACUGUAGUUCUUGAGGACUGGGGAGGCAGACGGAAUUCCUAGUGUAGCGGUGAAAUGCGUAGAUAUUAGGAGGAACACCAGUGGCGAAGGCGGUCUGCUGGACAGCAACUGACGCUGAGGCGCGAAAGCGUGGGGAGCAAACAGGAUUAGAUACCCGGGUAGUC